UACAGAGGCCUCGAGCGUUAGGCGGAAUCACUGGGCUUAAAGCGCGUGUAGGCGGAUCGUUAAGUGUCUUGUGAAAUCCCACGGCUCAACCGUGGAACUGCUGGGCAUACUGGCGAUCUUGGGCCACUCAGGGGCGACCGGAACAAGCGGUGGAGCGGUGAAAUGCGUAGAUAUCGCUUGGAACGCCAAAAGGUGAAGACAGGUCGCUGGGGGGUGUGCCGACGCUG
rnacentral:rRNA from 1 species